UAGGGAAUUUUCGGCAAUGGGGGGAACCCUGACCGAGCAACGCCGCGUGAACGAAGAAGUUAUUCGUAAUGUAAAGUUCUUUUAUCAGAGAAGAAAAGAAGAGAAUUGACGGUAUCUGAUGAAUAAGCUCCGGCUAACUACGUGCCAGCAGCCGCGGUAAUACGUAGGGAGCGAGCGUUAUCCGGAAUUAUUGGGCGUAAAGGGUGCGUAGAUGGUUAGUUAAGUUUCUUGUAAAAAUGCUAGGCUCAACCUAGUAGGGCAAGAGAUACUGGCUAGCUAGAGUACGGCAGAGGCAAGUGGAACUACAUGUGUAGCGGUAAAAUGCGUAAAUAUAUGUAAGAACACCAGUGGCGAAGGCGGCUUGCUGGGCCGAUACUGACAUUGAGGCACGAAAGCGUGGGGAGCAAACAGG
rnacentral:rRNA from 1 species